UCGAAGAAGAUGGCCACGGAGACAGCAGCGUGGUCAGAGUGGUAGGAGCCGGCCAUCGGCGAGAGCUGCUCCGUGCCUGGCUGCUGGGUGCUAGAGCCUGCGGCCCACUGGCUUGCCUCACUGUGGUUGGUGGUGGCGGUGACAGAGACUGCAGCACGACCAGAGUGGCUUUUCUGGCUUUGCCCACCCAGCUGCUCUGUGCCAGGAGGAGGAGGAGACACCUAGAUUCUGCGACACCACGGCUCGCCUCGCUGCGGGUGGGUGGCAGCGACGGAGACUGCAGUGCGCCGGAGCGGUAGGAGAGCGGCCGCGCUAGGAGGGCAGGCGGCUGCAGCCAGGGUUGGGGGUCAGGCUUACAGCGAUGGACGGGCUGCAGCAGUGGCCAGGUGGUAGGAGCCUUGUAGGGAGGGCUGGUGCAUUGGCAAUGGGC
rnacentral:lncRNA from 1 species